GCCAAACGAGGCGGUUGUUUACCUGGCAUUAAUUCCAAACAUUUUGCUAGAUCAAGCGCGAACCUAGAAACAACACACACAUCUCUUUUUUUCACCUGUUCACCCUUUUUGUUAUUUUUUUUUUAUCUGUUGUUUGAGUUCGCGAGUUUUUCACGUAGAAGAAAUGACAAUUUAUGGACUGUUGGUGCAGAUCAUCAUAGUUUGUAAUUAAACAAGGAAGAGCGGAGCAGAUCCAAGCCCCAGCAUGGCACCGCCCCAAGAACAACCCGAGGACGAUAUUAUCACCAAGAUACCUUCGAUAAUUGGAUUCCUGAACUUGGACUGACGAAAUGGAGCGACAAUGAGCUGACCCCGAGAGUCGAGGCUGAAGCGCAGCAUCAACAGAAUUAUGAUUAUAUUUAUUAUUUUCACUCUAGAUAAAGAUCUAGAUAAAGUUAAGAACUGAACCUGGGAUCAAGACAAAUAAACGAGCAAUGUGAUCGAA